rnacentral:rRNA from 1 species
AACGAACGCUGGCGGCAGGCUUAACACAUGCAAGUCGAACGCAUCCUUCGGGGUGAGUGGCAGACGGGUGAGUAACGCGUGGGAACGUGCCCUUCAGUUCGGGAUAACCCAGGGAAACUUGGGCUAAUACCGGAUACGUGCGAGAGCAGAAAGAUUUAUCGCUGAAGGAUCGGCCCGCGCCUGAUUAGCUAGUUGGUGGGGUAAUGGCCCACCAAGGCGACGAUCAGUAGCUGGUCUGAGAGGAUGUUCAGCCACAUUGGGACCGAGACACGGCCCAAACUCCUACGGGAGGCAGCAGUGGGGAAUAUUGGACAAUGGGCGCAAGCCUGAUCCAGCCAUGCCGCGUGAGUGAUGAAGGCCUUAGGGUUGUAAAGCUCUUUCGUCCGGGACGAUAAUGACGGUACCGGAAGAAGAAGCCCCGGCUAACUUCGUGCCAGCAGCCGCCGUAA